rnacentral:tRNA from 1 species
GAGGAUAUAGCUCAGUGGUAGAGUGUGUGCUUAGCAUGCAUGAGGUCCUGGGUUCAAUCCCCAGUACCUCCA